AUUGAACGCUGGCGGCAGGCCUAACACAUGCAAGUCGAGCGGAUGAGAAGAGCUUGCUCUUCGAUUCAGCGGCGGACGGGUGAGUAAUGCCUAGGAAUCUGCCUGGUAGUGGGGGACAACGUUUCGAAAGGAACGCUGAUACCGCAUACGUCCUGCGGGAGAAAGCAGGGGACCUUCGGGCCUUGCGCUAUCAGAUGAGCCUAGGUCGGAUUAGCUUGUUGGUGAGGUAAUGGCUCACCAAGGCGACGAUCCGUAACUGGUCUGAGAGGAUGAUCAGUCACACUGGAACUGAGACACGGUCCAGACUCCUACGGGAGGCAGCAGUGGGGAAUAUUGGACAAUGGGCGAAAGCCUGAUCCAGCCAUGCCGCGUGUGUGAAGAAGGUCUUCGGAUUGUAAAGCACUUUAAGUUGGGAGGAAGGGCAGCCAGCGAAUACCUGGUUGUUUUGACGUUACCGACAGAAUAAGCACCGGCUAACUCUGUGCCAGCCGCCGCGGUAACAC
rnacentral:rRNA from 1 species